GACGAAGGGGGCUAGCGUUGUUCGGAAUUACUGGGCGUAAAGCGCGUGUAGGCGGCUCUUCAAGUCAGGCGUGAAAGCCCCGGGCUCAACUCGGGAACUGCGCUUGAUACCGUCGAGCUAGAGUGUGGAAGGGGCGAUUGGAAUUCCGUGUGUAGCGGUGAAGUGCGUAGAUAUACGGAGGAACACCAGAGGCGAAGGCGGAUCGCUGGGCCAACACUGACGCUGAGACGCGAAAGCUAGGGUAGCAAACGGG
rnacentral:rRNA from 1 species